UCAAAGGCUCGGACAGACGGACUCCGAAUGGAAGAGGAGAAAUGAGGAGGCCAUGGACCGAAUACGGACCGGAGAGCCAUAGAAGAAGAAGAAGGAAAGAUGCCCAUGAUGUGGGUAAGAUUAUACCCCACAAUCCCAGCAUUUUCUGAAGUAAAGACUAUGUGUAAAGGUAUGUCAAGGGUAGUAAGGUGGUGACUGAUAUGAAUAGGGCAAUUGCAGAAAUUAAACCAUACAACUUAUGUGAACAGCUAAGAUAUUAAUGAAAACUCUGUUCUUAAAUUUUAAUAUUAACCCUGAAAGGCCCCGCAUGUCUUUUAAAGAUGUGGAAUUAGUAUCCCUAGUUGGCCCACCACAGACUUUUAAGACAUGGCAUGCAUUGUAUCAUGUAACAUAGCUUUGUGAUCAUUAUUUUGGGUUAUAAUCCAUUAUAACAAUGUCACUGUGCUCUAGAAGGAUGGUCCUAUAACAUUCAUAAACUUUGUCAAAAGGGCCUCAUUCCCCUCUUUUACAAAUAUUUUUACUUUACUUCCCUUGACAACCAACAGCUAAGAUUUGUUGGUGGGAAUUACCCCCUUAUUUUCAGCUAAACUCUGUAACUUUCAAAUAAACACUGAGUACAAGGCUGAGAAGUAUUUUAAUAACUUGAUCUGAAAGUGCUCAACUGAAGUGCUAUUUUCACACAUGUUCUAGAAGGGUUCAUGUUAUUUACUGGUACACUAAUAUGUGCCUGCUCUGAUUUAGUGGUUAAUUUCACCGUGGCUUUGUCACUGGUUUGUGGUCUGCUGUUAUGGUCAGUUGUCCACUGUGUACUUGCAUUAAUUUUCUUAUUUAUGUAACAUAAUUUAUUAUGAUUGUUAUUUCACAGUGUAUAAACAAACUGAUCUCAGUGAAGUGACUUACACAUCACUUUGUACAGUUUACAAAUAAUCCACUUCUGGUCUAUUCCAGUUGCUAGUAAUACUAGCUUUAUCCGACGUGCCUCAAAGGGCAAGUGUUCUUCCUGUAACCUGAAGGAGAUGAGCCAGCUUCCAUAAUGUCAUAUUUUCUAUGCAGAUGGUACUUAGCAUCAAAUAAAAAGGACAAAAAUAGUACAGCUGCAAUGAAAUGGAGAAGAUAGCAGGUAUAUGUUUCAAGGCAGUUUUGUGGAAGAAUUAACCAGCCAUGAAGAACCUUCACCAGAGGUCACCAGUCCAGGAUAGAGGCUCAAAUUGGUUACCUUCUGAAUGCAGACUCAAUUUGUGGUGCUCAGUAAUGAGGUAAACACAGACUGAAUAGUAACUAAUGUGAUAUGAAUGCAGUACUGCAGUUCACAGCUACUCUGUGUUUCUCAUGGCUUGAAAAUUAUGUAACUAUAGAAAAUUAAUUAUGCACAACUAAUGAAACUGCCAUCAAAACAGCUUGUAAGAUGUAAAAUCUGAAAAUAAUUCAAAACACAAUUGUACACCUUAUAAAUUUGUACUUUACUUCAGUAUCAGAUAUGCAAAAUAACAAUAAAGUACAAGUGAUGUGUGAAUUAGUUAAA